rnacentral:rRNA from 1 species
UAACAAGGAUUCCCCUAGUAACGGCGAGUGAAGCGGGAAGAGCUCAAAUUUAAAAUCUGGCAGUCUACGAUUGUCCGAAUUGUAAUCUCGAGAAGUGUUUUCCGCGUUGGCCUGUGCACAAGUCCCUUGGAACAGGGCGUCAUAGAGGGUGAGAAUCCCGUCCUUGGCACAGAUACCCAAUGCUUUGUGAUACACUCUCAAUGAGUCGAGUUGUUUGGGAAUGCAGCUCAAAAUGGGAGGUAAAUUCCUUCUAAAGCUAAAUACUGGCGAGAGACCGAUAGCGAACAAGUACCGUGAGGGAAAGAUGAAAAGCACUUUGGAAAGAGAGUCAAACAGUACGUGAAAUUGUUGAAAGGGAAACGAUUGAAGUCAGUCGUGCCUGCCUAGAUUCAGCCUUCUGGUGUAUUUCUAGGUCGGCAGGUCAGCAUCAGUUUGGGAGGGUUAACAAGGGAAUUAGGAAUGUGGCAACCUCGGUUGUGUUAUAGCCUAGUUUCGUAUUGAUCUUGCUGGACUGAGGAACGCAGUGCGCCCGCAAGGGUAGGUCUUCGGACACUUUCGCACUUAGGAUGCUGGCGUAAU